rnacentral:rRNA from 1 species
UACGGGGGGUGCGAGCGUUGUCCGGGAUCACUGGGCGUAAAGGGCGCGUAGGUGGCCUGAUAAGGGUGUGGUGAAAGUCCGGGGCUUAACCCCGGAUCUGCCGUGCCGACUGUUAGGCUAGAGUGCUGUAGGGGCAGGCGGAAUUCCCGGUGUAGUGGUGAAAUGCGUAGAUAUCGGGAGGAACACCAGUGGCGAAGGCGACUACCUGGCCUGUUCUUGACGCUGAGGCGCGAAAGCUAGGGGAGCAAACGGG